GAUGAACGCUGGCGGCGUGCCUAAUACAUGCAAGUCGAGCGAACAGAUGAGGAGCUUGCUCUCUUGACGUUGGCGGCGGACGGGUGAGUAACACGUGGAUAACCUACUUAUAAGACUGGGAUAACUUCGGGAAACCGGAGCUAAUACCGGAUAAUAUAUUGAACCGCAUGGUUCAAUAGUGAAUGACGGUUUUGCUGUCACUAAUAGAUGGUUCCGCGCCGCAUUAGCUAGUUGGUAAGGUAACGGCUAACCAAGGCAACGAUGCGUAGCCGACCUGAGAGGGUGAUCGGCCACACUGGAACUGAGACACGGUCCAGACUCCUACGGGAGGCAGCAGUAGGGAAUCUUCCGCAAUGGGCGAAAGCCUGACGGAGCAACGCCGCGUGAGUGAUGAAGGUCUUCGGAUCGUAAAACUCUGUUAUUAGGGAAGAACAAAUGUGUAAGUAACUAUGCACGUCUUGACGGUACCUAAUCAGAAAGCCACGGCUAACUACGUG
rnacentral:rRNA from 1 species